AUGAACGCUAGCUACAGGCUUAACACAUGCAAGUCGAGGGGCAGCAUAGUCUUAGCUUGCUAAGGCCGAUGGCGACCGGCGCACGGGUGAGUAACACGUAUCCAACCUGCCGUCUACUCUUGGACAGCCUUCUGAAAGGAAGAUUAAUACAAGAUGGCAUCAUGAGUCCGCAUGUUCACAUGAUUAAAGGUAUUCCGGUAGACGAUGGGGAUGCGUUCCAUUAGAUAGUAGGCGGGGUAACGGCUCACCUAGUCUUCGAUGGAUAGGGGUUCUGAGAGGAAGGUCCCCCACAUUGGAACUGAGACACGGUCCAAACUCCUACGGGAGGCAGCAGUGAGGAAUAUUGGUCAAUGGGCGAGAGCCUGAACCAGCCAAGUAGCGUGAAGGAUGACUGCCCUAUGGGUUGUAAACUUCUUUUAUAAAGGAAUAAAGUCGGGUAUGGAUACCCGUUUGCAUGUACUUUAUGAAUAAGGAUCGGCUAACUCCGUGCCAGCAGCCGCGGUAAUACGGAGGAUCCGAGCGUUAUCCGGAUUUAUUGGGUUUAAAGGGAGCGUAGAUGGAUGUUUAAGUCAGUUGUGAAAGUUUGCGGCUCAACCGUAAAAUUGCAGUUGAUACUGGAUAUCUUGAGUGCAGUUGAGGCAGGCGGAAUUCGUGGUGUAGCGGUGAAAUGCUUAGAUAUCACGAAGAACUCCGAUUGCGAAGGCAGCCUGCUAAGCUGCAACUGACAUUGAGGCUCGAAAGUGUGGGUAUCAAACAGGAUUAGAUACCCUGGUAGUCCACACGGUAAACGAUGAAUACUCGCUGUUUGCGAUAUACUGCAAGCGGCCAAGCGAAAGCGUUAAGUAUUCCACCUGGGGAGUACGCCGGCAACGGUGAAACUCAAAGGAAUUGACGGGGGCCCGCACAAGCGGAGGAACAUGUGGUUUAAUUCGAUGAUACGCGAGGAACCUUACCCGGGCUUAAAUUGCAGAUGAAUUACGGUGAAAGCCGUAAGCCGCAAGGCAUCUGUGAAGGUGCUGCAUGGUUGUCGUCAGCUCGUGCCGUGAGGUGUCGGCUUAAGUGCCAUAACGAGCGCAACCCUUGUUGUCAGUUACUAACAGGUUCCGCUGAGGACUCUGACAAGACUGCCAUCGUAAGAUGUGAGGAAGGUGGGGAUGACGUCAAAUCAGCACGGCCCUUACGUCCGGGGCUACACACGUGUUACAAUGGGGGGUACAGAGGGCCGCUACCACGCGAGUGGAUGCCAAUCCCCAAAACCUCUCUCAGUUCGGACUGGAGUCUGCAACCCGACUCCACGAAGCUGGAUUCGCUAGUAAUCGCGCAUCAGCCACGGCGCGGUGAAUACGUUCCCGGGCCUUGUACACACCGCCCGUCAAGCCAUGGGAGCCGGGGGUACCUGAAGUGCGUAACCGCGAGGAGCGCCCUAGGGUAAAACUGGUGACUGGGGCU
rnacentral:rRNA from 1 species